rnacentral:rRNA from 1 species
GAUGAACGCUGGCGGCGUGCCUAAUACAUGCAAGUCGAGCGAACGGACGAGAAGCUUGCUUCUCUGAUGUUAGCGGCGGACGGGUGAGUAACACGUGGAUAACCUACCUAUAAGACUGGGAUAACUUCGGGAAACCGGAGCUAAUACCGGAUGAUAUUUUGAACCGCAUGGUUCAAAAGUGAAAGACGGUCUUGCUGUCACUUAUAGAUGGAUCCGCGCUGCAUUAGCUAGUUGGUAAGGUAACGGCUUACCAAGGCAACGAUGCAUAGCCGACCUGAGAGGGUGAUCGGCCACACUGGAACUGAGACACGGUCCAGACUCCUGCGGGAGGCAGCAGUAGGGAAUCUUCCGCAAAGGGCGAAAGCCUGACGGAGCAACGCCGCGUGAGUGAUGAAGGUCUUCGGAUCGUAAAACUCUGUUAUUAGGGAAGAACAUAUGUGUAAGUAACUGUGCACAUCUUGACGGUACCUAAUCAGAAAGCCACGGCUAACUACGUG